AAUAUUGCACAAUGGGGGAAACUCUGAUGCAGCGUCGCCGCGUGAGCGAUGAAGGCUUUCGAGUCGUAAAGCUCUGUCCUAGGGGACGCUAAUGACGGUACCCUAGGAGGAAGCCACGGCUAACUACGUGCCUGCCGCCGCGGUAAUACGUAGGGGGCGAGCGUUGUCCGGAAUUAUUGGGCGUAAAGGGUUCGCAGUCGGCCUGUUAAGUCAGAUGUGAAAGCCCACGGCUUAACCGUGGUAAGCAUUUGAAACUGGAAGGCUUGAGUUAAGGAGAGGAAAGUGGAAUUCCUAGUGUAGCGGUGAAAUGCGUAGAUAUUAGGAGGAAUACCAGUGGCGAAGGCGACUUUCUGGACUUAUACUGACGCUCAGGUACGAAAGCGUGGGGAGCAAACAG
rnacentral:rRNA from 1 species